rnacentral:rRNA from 1 species
UGGGGAAUUUUGGACAAUGGGCGAAAGCCUGAUCCAGCAAUGCCGCGUGAGUGAAGAAGGCCUUCGGGUUGUAAAGCUCUUUUGUCAGGGAAGAAACGGUGUGGGCUAAUAUCCUGCACUAAUGACGGUACCUGAAGAAUAAGCACCGGCUAACUACGUGCCAGCAGCCGCGGUAAUACGUAGGGUGCAAGCGUUAAUCGGAAUUACUGGGCGUAAAGCGUGCGCAGGCGGUUUUGUAAGUUUGUCGUGAAAGCCCCGGGCUCAACCUGGGAAUUGCGAUGAAGACUGCAAGGCUUGAAUCUGGCAGAGGGGGGUAGAAUUCCACGUGUAGCAGUGAAAUGCGUAGAGAUGUGGAGGAACACCGAUGGCGAAGGCAGCCCCCUGGGUCAAGAUUGACGCUCAUGCACGAAAGCGUGGGGAGCAAACA